rnacentral:lncRNA from 1 species
UUCGCGGGGUGAGCAAAAAGCCUUUCCCUGGAUCCUGGUAUGAACUCACAAAAAAGCAUUGACCCGUCGCCUGCUUCAUCUGCAGAGAAAGAUACGUAUCUUAGGGAAUAAGGAAUCUGAGGAUUCGUUGAACAUAGUUCAACUCAUUUCAUACAAUUCGCUCAUCCGUCCCUACUUCGCUUGCAGCACUCCUUCUCUUUCUCAGGGAUACUACUGUCUCGGUAGGACAAUGAAUAGCUUAUAUAGGCCUCUUUCCUUCGCUUCUCGGCAAUUAGUUAAGUU